CACGUAGGGGGCAAGCGUUGUUCGGAUUCAUUGGGCGUAAAGGGUGUGUAGGUGGCGCGCUAAGUCGGGUGUGAAAUUUCGGAGCUUAACUCCGAAACUGCAUUCGAUACUGGCGUGCUUGAGGACUGGAGAGGAGACUGGAAUUCAUGGUGUAGCAGUGAAAUGCGUAGAGAUCAUGAGGAAGACCAGUGGCGAAGGCGGGUCUCUGGACAGUUCCUGACACUGAGACACGAAGGCCAGGGGAGCAAACGGG
rnacentral:rRNA from 1 species